GGGGUUCAAGCUCAUCGGUAGAGCGCUCGCUUAGCAUGCGAGAGGUACAGGAUUCGACUCCCUGGUACUCCA
rnacentral:tRNA from 1 species